ACGACUCUCGGCAACGGACAUCUCGGCUCUCGCAUCGAUGAAGAAACUAGCGAAAGAUGCGAUACUUGGUGUUGAUUGCAGAAUCCCGUGGAACAUCGAGUCUUUGAACCGAAGUUGCGCCCCAAGCCUUCUGGCCGAGGGCACUGCUGCCUGGGUGUCACAAAUCGUCGUCCCCCAAUCCUCUCGAGGAUAUGGGUCGGAAGCUGAUCUCCCGUUGGUUACCGCACGCGGUUGGCCAAAAUCCGAGCUAAGGACUCCAGGAGCGUCUUGACAUGGCGGUGGUUGAUUUAAUUCUCGUCAUAUAGUCGGACGUUCCGGUCCAAAAGCCUCUUGAUGACCCAAAGUCCUCAACGCGACCCCAGGUCAGGCGGGAUCACCUACUGAGUUUAAGCAUAUCAAAAAGCAGAGGAAAACAAACUACAAGGAUCCCGUUAGUAACGGCGAGCGGAACGGGGAGAGCCCAGCUUGAAAAUAGGCCGUCUUCGGCGUUCGAAUUGUAGUCUGGAGAAAGCGUCCUCAGCGACGGACCGGGCCCAAGUUCCCUGGAAAAGGGGCGCCAGAGAGGGUGAGAGCCCCGUCGUGCCCGGACCCUGUCGCACCAAGAGGCGCUGUCUACGAGUCGGUUGUUUGGGAAUGCAGCCCAAUCGGGCGGUAAAUUCCGUCCAAGGCUAGAUAUGGGCGAGAGACCGAUAGCGAACAAGUACGGGGAGGUAAAGAUGAAAAGAACUUUGAAAAGAGAGUCAAAGAGUGCUUGAAAUUGUCGGGAGGGGAAGCGGAUGGGGGCCGGGGAUGCGUCCUGGUCGGGUGGGGAACGGAGCAAUCCGGUCGCCCGAUCGAUUCGGGGCGUGGACCGACGCGAAUUAAGGUGGUGACCUAAGGCCGGGCUUUUGUUACCGCGCCGUUGGAGACGUCGCUGCCUUAACCGUGGUCUGCAUGCACGCGCCUCAGUGCGUGCCUCGGCAUCUGCGUGCUGAGGGCGUCGGCCUGUGGGCUCCCCAUUCGAUCCGUCUUGAAACACGGACCAAGGAGUCUGAAAUGUGUGCGAGUCAACGGUUGAGUAAUCCCGUAAGGCGCAAGGAAUCUGAUUUGCUGGAUCCCUCACGGGUGCACAGCCGACCGAACUUGAUCUUCUGAGAAGGGUUCGAGUGUGAGCAUGCUGUCGGGACCCAAAAGAUGGUGAACCAUGCCCGAGCGGGGCGAAGCCAGAGGAAACUCUGGGUGAGGCCCGCAGCGAUACUGACGUGCAAAUCGUUCGUCUGACUUGGGUACAGGGGCGAAAGACUAAUCGAACCAUCUAGUAGCUGGUUCCUCCGAAGUUUCCCUCAGGAUAGCUGGAGCUCGUAAACGAGUUCUAUCGUGUAAAGACAAUGAUUAGAGGCCUCGGGGACGCAAUGUCCUCGACCUAUUCUCACACUUUCAAUAGGUAGGACGGGGUGGCUGCUUUGUUGAGCCAUCCACGGCAUCGAGAGCUCCAAGUGGGGCAUUUUUGGUAAGCAGAACUGGCGAUGCGGGAUGAAACGGAAGCCGGGUUACGGUGCCAACUGCGCGCUAACCUAGAACCCACAAAGGGUGUUGGUCGAUUAAGACAGCAGGACGGUGGUCCUGGAAGUCGAAAUCCGCUAAGGAGUGUGUAACAACUCACCGCCCGAAUCAACUAGCCCCGAAAAUGGAUGGCGCUGAAGCGCGCGACCUAUACACGGGCGUCGGGGCAAGAGCCAGGCCCCGAUGAGUAGGAGGGCGCGGCGGUCGGUGCAAAACCUAGCGCGCGAGCCCGGGCGGAGCGGCCGUCGUGGCAGAUCUUGGUGNNNNNNNNNNNNNNNNNNNNNNNNNCCCUUUUUUUUUUUUUUUUUUUUUUUGAAACUCCAUCACCCUAUGUUAGUUAGUGAAUUUUGGAUGGAUACAUAGAGUUAAAUUCAAAUUUUCAUAAUUUCAUAAUUUCAUAGUAUACAUGUCUUUGAUUCAUCCUUUUGAAAUUUUAAAACUUGAUAACCAAACUAAAUUAUUAUAGUAGUAUUAUAAAAUCAGAUAUUCUUUAAAGAAUUUAUGCUGAUAAUGAUGUUAUUAGGUACUCUAUGAGCAUCUAGCUAACUAGCUUAUAUCUUAUGGCAAACUAGUUUAUAGUUUAUAGUAUUUCUCAAAAAUAAAAAUCUAGUUUAUAGUAGUAGAUAAAUACAUAGAUGCGUCAUGGUGAGCACGUCUUUGGACUCUAGAAACAAGCAUUGGCGAGAAUGAAGAGAGCUUAUUUGGGAGAGAGAUGUAAUUUGUUUGGGUUUUGCACUUUAGGCCCAACUGAAUGUUUUGAUUUUUUCUCUCCACAAGGCACACACAAUAAAAGUUUAUUUUGAAUGUUUGAUUCUUUCUCUCCAAAGGCACACACAAUUAACAAAAGUAAAGAAAAAUGGCCCUUCGAAAGUCGAACUCGGGACCUAUAAUAACAACACUAGACCAAAGACAUAACCAUUGCAAAAAUGAUAAUAUUUUUUAAAAUAUCAUAUCAAUAAGAAUUGCUUUCAUAAAUAAAGGAGCGCCUACAUUCACUUUUGUUCUCUCAAUAGCCAACAUUAAUAGUAGAUGACAUCCUGAUAUUAGAUUCAUCUAGAUGCCUGAAAGCGUUUCAUUAUUCAUAUAUAAAAUUUGCUUAUCUUUAAUCGUAAUAUUCGUUUUUAAAUACUAUACAACUUUGAAAGGCGGGGUACUUAUACAAGUACAAGUCGACCACGGGAAUGAGUACUGAGCACUUAGAAGUCAUGAUUUGCACGCUCCAAAAUGCAUAUGUGGGCCCCUUCAACUUUCAUAUUUGAAGUUUUUAGACCAAAAAAUAUUUGAAGUUUUUUCAUGUCCUGCUGCAUAAACAAGGAAAAUGUAUAUAAUAAAAUACCAACAAAAUCAAUGUAAUAAUAAAAAGAUAUUCAAUUCAAGAAUUUUUUCGAAAUAGUGUGGUUUUAUUAAGUGUCAUUUAUGGGUUCAGUUAAUAUACACAUUGCCAUUAGCGAAUAUAUCAAGGAGUCAGCAAAGCAAGAUUUCCAUCAAGAUAUAUAUGUAGUCACAAACUUUAUGCUGGACUAGAUGAAUGAAAUCUUGUUAGGCUCCUUCAUAUUGUAGCUACCGAUAGCUUUUACUCCAUGCCACUUACAUCGCAUUGAUCAGUACAUAAAUGAUGUUGUUUUGCCUAGUUUGAGGGUCCCUAGGAACCUAACAUUUCUAAACGCCAGAUGAGUCUCAAAUAAUUCAACUUCUAAAAUCCUCCGAUGUUAGUGGUGAGUAGGAUGCAUCCUAGUUACAUUUAACCCAAUCCUUUAUCAGUUGGACUCUUACUG
rnacentral:rRNA from 1 species